rnacentral:rRNA from 1 species
GACGGAGGGGGCUAGCGUUGUCCGGAAUCAUUGGGCGUAAAGCGCGCGUAGGUGGCUUCGUAAGUCCGUUGUGAAAGUCAAAGGCUCAACCUUUGAAAGCCGAUGGAUACUGCGGAGCUAGAGUACGGAAGAGGCGAGUGGAAUUCCUGGUGUAGCGGUGGAAUGCGCAGAUAUCAGGAGGAACACCAAUAGCGAAGGCAGCUCGCUGGGACGUUACUGACACUGAGGCGCGAAAGCGUGGGGAGCGAACAGG